AAAUGUCAGGCACCCCUUCCACAGUUUGAGUGCACAUGCAUCGCAUCUUUUGUUUAUAUCGAUCAAACAAACGUAAGAAAAAUUUAAUAGAUAUAGAAAGAAUCCGAUUGUUUUGCUCAAAAAAGUCAACAUUUUCUUCUUAAAUACUGGUAAAAUACGCAUAUCAAUGGAUAAAAUUACACCGGAGGAAUUAUUAAAGCUACGCGCUAACUGCAUGGAGCGCCUACGCGCAGCUGAACUCUAUGAAUUGCGCAAUGAUGCCAAGCUGCGUGCGGUGAAUACCACACAAACUUAUGAAGAAUUCAAAGAUAUUGUGGAUGCGGCACAUUUGCAACCAGUAAGUAAACAGGAUAAAAUGAAUGCGAAGACGAAAAGUCGCUUGUGGAAUUCAGCGGCACGGGAGAAUUGAUAUUGUGUUCUUCUUAACAACCAAAUUUUGGGUUUACAUUAAAAAUAAUUAUAUAAGAAAUGUAUUUGUCAGAAUUGUCAUCAAAAACACACAAGUGUAAAAUAGGGUAUUGUUUGUUUUUGAUGAAGUUGUGUUAUAAGUGGGCAUACUGUUACCGGCAUCGAUAUAGCAAUACUUAGGACACUGGAGCAAGCAUUAACUUUAUACUUAGCACAGAUGUUAACUAAAUAGACUCAUGGUGAUAUUGUAUACAAGUAUACAUAUAUUUCUAUGCGAUCGUACAUGUGUAGAUAAGGAUAUAAACAUAAAAUUUGAAGU
rnacentral:misc_RNA from 1 species